rnacentral:rRNA from 1 species
GACAAACGCUGGCGGCGUGCUUAACACAUGCAAGUGGAGCGACGAACCAGGCUUCGGCCUGGGGCAGAGCCGCGAACGGGUGAGUAACACGUGGGUAACGUGCCCCGAUGACCGGGACAACCCGGGGAAAUCCGGGCUAAUACCGGACGGGCUGUCCCAACACCAGUUGGGAUUGGAAAGGAAGCUUCGGCCUCCGCAUCGGGCGCGGCCCGCGGCCCAUUAGCUUGUUGGUGAGGUAAAGGCUCACCAAGGCCGCGAUGGGUAGCUGGUCUGAGAGGACGAUCAGCCACACUGGGACUGAGACACGGCCCAGACUCCUACGGGAGGCAGCAGUGGGGAAUCUUGCGCAAUGCGCGAAAGCGUGACGCAGCAACGCCGCGUGGGGGAAGAAGGCCUUCGGGUUGUAAACCCCUUUCAGGAGGGACGAAGGUUGGGCGGUGAAUAGCCGACCUGACUGACGGUACCUCCAGAAGAAGCCCCGGCUAACUACGUGCCAGCCGCCGCGGUAAGAC